rnacentral:pre_miRNA from 1 species
GCUGGCAGGGCCACAACCAGUGCGGACUGAUGUGCCCCAAGCAUCUCUGGGCUAGUAUAUCUCUGAGCACAUCAUUCUCAAGCACUAUUAGGAAGCCUCUGUGGCUUCC